UACGGAGGGUGCGAGCGUCAAUCGGAAUUACUGGGCGUAAAGCGCACGCAGGCGGUUUGUUAAGCUAGAUGUGAAAGCCCCGGGCUCAACCUGGGAUGGUCAUUUAGAACUGGCAGACUAGAGUCUUGGAGAGGGGAGUGGAAUUCCAGGUGUAGCGGUGAAAUGCGUAGAUAUCUGGAGGAACAUCAGUGGCGAAGGCGACUCCCUGGCCAAAGACUGACGCUCAUGUGCGAAAGUGUGGGUAGCGAACAGG
rnacentral:rRNA from 1 species